AUUCUGGUUGGAGGAUCAUACAGGGAAGAUGGGGCAACGUCCUAACCUGGUCUUCUGGUUGGAGGAUCAUACAGGGAAGAUGGGGCAACGGUCCUAACCUGGUCUUAAGAUAUGCCACAUCUUCCCAGACCAAAGAGCUGUGCAUGAAGACGUCUUCUGGAGAAGAGAUUUCCUGGACAAUGGCUGUGCAUUAGGACAAACAAUAAGCAGUGACAUAUGAAUGAGUUGGUAUACACAGUGGUGUAAAGUACUUUAGUACUACUUGUGUUUUUCUUUUGGUGGUAUCUGUACUUUACUAUUUAUAUUUUUGACAACUUUUACUCCACUACAUUUCUAAAGAAAAGAAUGUACAUUUGACUCCAUACAUUUUCCCUGACACCCAAAUGUACUUGUUACAUUUGGAAAUGCUCAGGCAGGACAGCAAUAUGGGCUAAUCAUGCACCUUUUUUUUUUAACCUUUUAUUUUAACAGGGAAGAAAUUGAGGCCUAUGUUUCUUUUCCAGAUGUGCCCUGUAUAAUACAAUAUAAAUAUACCCAACAUAUUACAAUACAAAACACAGUCAUGUUAAGCACUAUUAAAACAAAUCAUUCAGAAAAAGUUACAUUCCUCCACAAUUAAUUCUCCAAUCAAUACAUGAAAUUGCCUCAAACAGCACCAGAACAACAAAAUGAAAUGUAUUUAUAUUUUUGGGGGCAAUGUGGUGCAUUUAAGCUAAAACCAGAUUUACCUAGUUCGGUGGAGACCCUAGGAACGUCGAGUUAACGGGUUAGGCAACUCUGGUGUCUAUACUUCAAAAGCAAAGUCGGAUAAGACGGAAGUUUAUGAAGCAGGGCCUUGUAAACAAAAAGGGAGUAAUGUAGAGACCUACGGGUCUUUAGCAAAGUCCAGCCAACCUUUUGAUACAGGAUGCAGUGUUGUGAUGAGUAUCAAAUCUGUUGCCCAAAACAACGAAGGGCAACGUGGUAGAUGGAAUCCAUAGCUUUAAGACUAGUAGCAACUGCAUUUGGAUAAAUAAUCACCAUAAUCAAGAACAGAUGAAAAGGUUGACUGAAUGAUCUGCUUCCUACUGCUGAGAGAAAGGCACCAUCGUUUUCUGUAGAAAAGAAGACCGCUUUAAGUCUUAGCUUCUUAACCAGCUCAUCUGUCUUUUUUAAAACGCCAAAUCCAUAUCAAUCCAAAGGCCUUAUUAUUUAUAUGCUGGAACACGUUCCAUUGGAGAACCAUCUAAUGAGUGAACAUGUAGUUCAUCUGAAACGUUCUUACGAGAGUUUAAAAACAUGUAUUUAGUUUUGUCCAUAUUAGGCACAAGUUUUAAAUCGGCAAGGGAUUCCUACAUAGCUAUAAAAUCGACUAGUUUUGACACAGCCAGAUCAAUAGGGACGGCAGGUGGUCAGAGCGUUGGACUAGUAACCAGCAGGUAGCCUAGUGGUCAGAGUGUUGGACUAGUAACCAGCAGGUAGCCUAGUGGUUAGAGCGUUGGACUAGUAACCAGCAGGUAGCCUAGUGGUUAGAGCGUUGGACUAGUAACCAGCAGGUAGGCUAGUGGUUAGAGCGUUGGACUAGUAACCAGCAGGUAGCCUAGUGGUUAGAGCGUUGGACUAGUAACUGGAAGGUUUCCAGAUUGAAUCCCUGAGCUGACAAGGUAAAAAUCUGUUGUUCUGCCCUUGAACAAGGCAGCUAAACCACUGUUCCUAGGCCGUCAUUGUAAAUACGAAUUUGUUCUGAACUGACUUGCCUAGUUAAAUUUUAAAAACUAGUCUGGGCAAUAGUGUAUAUAAUAGUAUCAUCCACAUUUAAAUGAAGUUAACAGAUUGACCAAUGGUGUUAAUGUAAAUAGUGAAUAGAACAGGUCCCAAAAUCAGGAUUUGACAGUUUUUCAGAAUAUACCCGGGUUCCCAUUACAAUCCCAAAGAGCAGUUACAUAAUUCCAUUUAGCCUUGCUGAUUUGUCUUGCACAAUAGUUCCUCAGUUGCUUAAAGCUUGCCGGGCCUGAGCCUGUGCUCCUGGUCUUGACCCAAGCAUCGUCUCUUUUAUAAAUGACUUCUGAUCAUUCUGGAGUGUACCAGGCAUUCCAUCUACCUUUAACCCUUCAUGUUUUUGAAGGGAGCAUGAUUAUCCACAAUAGUAUUGAAGACAUCUGCAAAAAGGCUGAAAGCUAAAUCAUGUUGAUGGAUAGCUGAUGAGGCUAUGGAGCUAUGGAGACAUCCUCACUCACCAGAAUGGAUGUUGACCGUACCACAUCAUACAGUCGCUACUGUUGGAUGAGGCUAUGGAGCUAUGGAGACAUCCUCACUCACCAGAAUGGAUGUUGACCGUAC